CUGUACAUGUGAUAAAGAGAUAGUUGGAUCUCACCAAAUGAGGGUUUUGACCAUGGGAUUUUUCAAUAGCUGUAAAUAGUCCGAUGGUUCUCGAAUAUGUAGAGAGUAACAUCAAUGUCCCUUGGUCUAGAAGCGAGAAAGUGCACCAAAUAAAUUAUCUUCUGGUUGCUGGGCAUGUGUAUCCGUUAAGCUGGUCUCACUAGCGUCCUGCGUAGUGUGUAAGUGAUCG